GAUUAAGAACGUAGCAAAAUGCGAUACUUGGUGUGAAUUGCAGAAUCCCGUGAACCAUCGAGUUUUUGAACGCAAGUUGCGCCCGAAGCCUUUUGGCCGAGGGCACGUCUGCCUGGGCGUCACGCAUCGCGUCGCCCCCCACAAUUCUCCGUAAAAGGAACAUGUGUUUUGGGGGCGGAUAUUGGUCUCCCGUGCUCAUGGCGUGGUUGGCCGAAAUAGGAGUCCUUUCGAUGGACGCACGAACUAGUGGUGGUCGUAAAAACCCUCGUCUUUUGUUUCGUGCUGUUGCUCGCAAGGUAAACUCUUUAAAAACCCCAAUGUGUCGUCUCUUGACGACGCUUCGACCGCGACCCCAGGUCAGGCGGGACUACCCGCUGAGUUUAAGCAUAUCAAUAAGCGGAGGA
rnacentral:misc_RNA from 1 species